GCGGGGGACGUCCAAGUGUCCCAGGACGCCGAAAGGUCUUGAAAACCGUCGUGGCAGCGAUGUCACCGUGGGUUCAAAUCCCACACCCACCGCA
rnacentral:tRNA from 1 species